UACGUAGGGUCCGAGCGUUGUCCGGAAUUACUGGGCGUAAAGAGCUCGUAGGUGGUUUGUCGCGUUGUUCGUGAAAACUCACAGCUCAACUGUGGGCGUGCGGGCGAUACGGGCAGACUAGAGUACUGCAGGGGAGACUGGAAUUCCUGGUGUAGCGGUGGAAUGCGCAGAUAUCGGGAGGAACACCGGUGGCGAAGGCGGUUCUCUGGGCCUUACCUGACGCUGAGGAGCGAAAGCGUGGGGAGCGAUCCGG
rnacentral:rRNA from 1 species